rnacentral:rRNA from 1 species
AACGCGAAGAACCUUACCCAGGUUUGACAUCCCGAGAAGGCUUCCGAAAGGAAACUGUGCUUUAUUGAACUCGGUGACAGGUGAUGCAUGGCCGUCGUCAGCUCGUGUCGUGAGAUGUAUGGUUAAGUCCAUUAACGAGCGCAACCCUUAUGUUUAGUUGGAUUUUUCUAAACAGACUGCCCUGGUAACAGGGAGGAAGGAGGGGAUGAUGUCAGGUCAGUAUUUCCCUUACAUCUGGGGCUACAAACACGCUACAAUGGCCGGUACAAAGGGCAGCCAACCCGCGAGGGGGAGCAAAUCCCAUCAAAGCCGGUCUCAGUUCGGAUAGCAGGCUGAAACUCGCCUGCUUGAAGUCGGAAUCGCUAGUAACGGUAGGUCAGCACACUACCGUGAAUACGUUCCCGGGUCUUGUACACACCG